GACGAACGCUGGCGGCGUGCUUAACACAUGCAAGUCGAGCGGAGCGGCGAACGGGUGAGUAACGCGUGAGUAACUGCCCCCCUCUCUGGGAUAACAGUUGGAAACGGCUGCUAAUACCGGAUAGUGGGGGAUGACUCGCGUCCUAUCAGCUUGGUGGGGGGGUAACGGCUCACCUAGGCGACGAUCCCUAGCUGGUCUGAGAGGAUGACCAGCCACACUGGACUGAGACACGGUCCAGACUCCUACGGGAGGCAGCAGUGGGGAAUAUUGCACAAUGGGCGCAAGCCUGAUGCAGCAACGCCGCGUGCGGGAUGACGGCCUUCGGGUUGUAAACCGCUUUCAGCCAUGACGCGGUAGUGGCAGAAGAAGCACCGGCUAACUACGUGCCAGCCGCCGCGGUAAUAC
rnacentral:rRNA from 1 species